rnacentral:ncRNA from 1 species
UUGCGAGGACGACCUCGGCCAUGGCGGCGACAGCAUUCGGGACGGCCCGA